rnacentral:rRNA from 1 species
UACGUAGGGGGCAAGCGUUGGUCCGGAAUCAUUGGGCGUAAAGAGCGUGUAGGCGGCCAGAUAAGUCCGCUGUGAAAUCUCGAGGCUCAACUUCGAGCUGUCGGUGGAAACUGUCUGGCUAGAGUCCGGAAGAGGAGAAUGGAAUCCUGGUGUAGCGGUGAAAUGCGCAGAUAUCAGGAAGAACACCCGUGGCGAAGGCGGUUCUCUGGGACGGUACUGACGCUGAGACGCGAAAGCGUGGGGAGCAAACAGG